rnacentral:lncRNA from 1 species
UUAGGCCACAGGGCAAGGGACCGGAAACAAAACCUGUUUAUGCAUAUGAUGCAUGCAAUGUUUGUGCAUAUGAUUUGUUUUUUAUUUCAAAGGAACUUUAGAGUUUUAUUUGCAAAUUCUGGAAAUAUUAAGCAUUUUAUCACAUAUGGAAAUAUCUCAUCAAAUAAUAUCAGGGAAAAGAAGUGCAGCAUCGUCAAUCAUAUACAA